rnacentral:rRNA from 1 species
AAAUAGAACUUUGCAGAGAGAGUUAAGAGGGCGUGAAACCGCUAGCUGGUAAACGAGUGGAGCCACGAAGUCGUUUCGUAGAAUAAAGGAUACAGAUUCAGUUGAGGUCUUCGGGCUUUAAUGCAUUUCUGUUUAUUCUUCUAUGUAUGCGUACACUGCAACCAAUUAGACAAUCAAUUGUGGAAAUAAUUGGCCAAUAUAGGAAGAAAUUCUUGUAUUAGUUAAUGAAAUGCUUAUAUACUAUCUAUAGGUAGCUCGGUCUAGUUUCGGCUAUAUUGAGUGUCUGAUAUGUUAGUAUGAGAACUACAAUUGAAUACUGAUUGGCACAAUGAAAAUCCAUUCGCAAGAAUGGUACAAGAUAACACUACCUGUGUCGUAUUUGUGUACAAAUAUUUAUUAUCAGCGUAAGCUUAGUAGUUUUAAAUUUAGACUGGCACACUACUUUUGGUUUCGGCCAUUGGUGUGUGUUUAGCAUCUAUCUAAUUGGCUAUUAACUUUGCUGGUAAUCUUGUGUUUGCUAUGAUAGCAUGAAUGCGACAAUAGGCAAGUAAUCAUAUUGGCAGUGAGUAGGUCGGCUUUCCACACGACCCGUCUUGAAACACGGACCAAGGAGUCUAAUUAGGCAUCGAGUUGAUCGGUCUUGUUUAGGCCAGAAUGGGAGAUUUAUCUUCCGAUUGAAAGCAAAGUGAAAUCAAAUUAUGUGAUCCUAAUUCGCAAGAAUCAGGCGCAACAUAUGCCCUUUCGUAUAACUAUACGCGCAAGUGUUAGUUGGGAGGAGUAAAGAGAUGCUUGACUGGUACCCGAAAGAUGGUGAACUAUGCCUGGGCAAAUUGAAGCCAGAGGAAACUCUGGUGGAGGAUUGUAGCGAUUCUGACGUGCAAAUCGAUCGUCAGACCUGGGUAUAGGGGCGAAAGACUAAUCGAACCAUC